AUGAACGCUGGCGGCGUGCCUCAUACAUGCAAGUCGAGCGCACGGACGAGAAGCUUGCUUCUCUGAUGUUAGCGGCGGACGGGUGAGUAACACGUGGAUAACCUACCUAUAAGACUGGGAUAACUUCGGGAAACCGGAGCUAAUACCGGAUAAUAUUUUGAACCGCAUGGCUCAAAAGUGAAAGACGGUCUUGCUGUCACUUAUAGAUGGAUCCGCGCUGCAUUAGCUAGUUGGUAAGGUAACGGCUUACCAAGGCAACGAUGCAUAGCCGACCUGAGAGGGUGAUCGGCCACACUGGAACUGAGACACGGUCCAGACUCCUACGGGAGGCAGCAGUAGGGAAUCUUCCGCAAUGGGCGAAAGCCUGACGGAGCAACGCCGCGUGAGUGAUGAAGGUCUUCGGAUCGUAAAACUCUGUUAUUAGGGAAGAACAUAUGUGUAAGUAACUGUGCACAUCUUGACGGUACCUAAUCAGAAAGCCACGGCUAACUACGUG
rnacentral:rRNA from 1 species